CUCAGCAAGGAAUGAUGAAAAAUAAAGUUUCCCUGAUUAGACGAGACCCGCAGAUGACUGGAAGUAGAAUCUGAAACUGUUCUCUGUGUUGCUCAAGAAGUCGCUGUCCCGCCCUUCAGAGUGCCAUGUCUCCACCCCGCCUCGACUCAGUGACAGAAAGAAACAUUUUUGUGCGUGAUUUUGGUCUGCAUGUGUAUGCUGUAUGUUGGAGUGGAAUUGCUGAGUCAUCGAGUAUGUGUAGUUUGGCUUUGUCAGUAAGUGCCCAACGAUCUUCCAAAGUGAUUGGACCAAUUCACACCUCUACCUCCAGCAUCCAAGGGUUCCGAUUGCUCUACACCCUUGCCAACACUUGCCACUGAUAAUGUCUUCCUGAAGAAAUGAAUUUAGUUACUUUUCUUCCAUUUGCCAAAGAAUUGGAGGGAGGGGAAAAAGAGAAUUUUUGUCUUCAAUUUCUUUUAUAUUUUUAGUUGCUCCUGAGGCUUCUCAGGCUCCAUCCCUCACAG
rnacentral:lncRNA from 1 species